rnacentral:rRNA from 1 species
GACGAACGCUGGCGGCGUGCUUAACACAUGCAAGUCGAACGGAAAGGCCCUGCUUUUGUGGGGUGCUCGAGUGGCGAACGGGUGAGUAACACGUGAGUAACCUGCCCUUGACUUUGGGAUAACUUCAGGAAACUGGGGCUAAUACCGGAUAGGAGCUCCUGCUGCAUGGUGGGGGUUGGAAAGUUUCGGCGGUUGGGGAUGGACUCGCGGCUUAUCAGCUUGUUGGUGGGGUAGUGGCUUACCAAGGCUUUGACGGGUAGCCGGCCUGAGAGGGUGACCGGCCACAUUGGGACUGAGAUACGGCCCAGACUCCAACGGGGGGCAGCAGUGGGAAAUAUUGCACAAUGGGCGGAAGCCUGAUGCAGCAACGCCGCGUGCGGGAUGACGGCCUUCGGGUUGUAAACCGCUUUCGCCUGUGACGAAGCGUGAGUGACGGUAAUGGGUAAAGAAGCACCGGCUAACUACGUG